CGCCCCGGCCGGGGACGCGCACCGCCGUGGGGAUCCGCCGCCCGUCUGUGAAAUCUUUUAGACGACUCUCGGCAACGGAUAUCUCGGCUCUCGCAUCGAUGAAGAACGUAGCGAAAUGCGAUACUUGGUGUGAAUUGCAGAAUCCCGUGAACCAUC
rnacentral:rRNA from 1 species